UUUUUUUUUUUUUUUUUUUUUUUUUUUUUGUAAAAAAAGAAGCUUUGGGUACGUAUUUGAUGGAUUAGGAUCUCUGUAGUUGAUUCUAUCCAGUUCAGUUCUAAUUCUUACAAUUUUUUUACGUAAUUUUAUACAACUUUAGUGUAAUCAUAAAUAGUUAAUAUGAGUAAGAAAACAAAACACCAUUUAUACCAAGAUAAUAGUAGUAUCAUUUUACAUCAAAUGUCGUAAGAAUUACAUAAUCGGACAGUAGAACUAGACGAAACCGUCUAUCUCUUCCAAUCCUUCAAUAGGAUCUUCUACUCCAGCAAACCGCUCUUUUCUUUCCCAUUAAAAUGAUGGUGAAAAUUUUUUAUCUCUCUCUUUCUUUCUCUUUUUUAGCCCUUUUGUUGGGCUUUAAAGUUUGAGGGUCAAAUAUCACCCUAAUUCUCGCGGCCGAAGUGAAAAGCCCUGCGAAGAAACAUGAAGGCCCACUUACACAAUGUGAUGGGCCCAGAUCUAGAGUCGUGUGCUCCUGGAUUCUGCUCUCGUGUCCCAUGGAUAGACAUCGGCAGCCUGCUGCAACGGGCCACUUUGAGGCUUGAUGUAGACAGAUCUCGUCCAGCUGGCCGUGAAUGCGACAAGCACCGGCGUGCCCCCAGCCCUUCUACACGCUAAUUUCGCCCACACACUCCGCGCCAGUUUAAACGGUACUUGCCACCAUGAAACAUUAUUGAAUCCAAGGUUUUGAGGGUCGAAUAUUCUAUGGCUCUGUUUGGCCGCUCGUUAAGAAUAAUAGGAGAGGACAAUGUUGAGUUUAGUUUAAAUUAGAUAUAUAGUAAACGAGUCUAAAUUAUCGUCUCUUUUACGAGUUAUUUGUAUUUCGAGAUGAGAAAGCUUGACUCGAAGGAUGAUUUUGCCAAUCAAUAAAGAUUACUACAAAAUCAUAUUCUAACUAGGACAAUAUUAUUACUUAAUUAAUGCAAGUAAUUCUCCGCCAACUACCUCAAAUGAACUCCCAACCUUCUCUUCAUUUGGUACAGAUGGGCAUCGGGCUCUCGUGGAGAUGGUUUUGGUCUAGUGAUUAAAGUUGAAAUCUUAAAAUUUAGAGGUUUGGUUUUGAGUAUAAAUUCUCCUUCAUUUUCCUGUUUCUUAAAUCCUACCAUUUUUCUAUUAAGAAUUCUUUUUCUUUAAAAAAAUAAUAAUAAAGACUUAAGGCUCAAUGUUCCCACACUAGGAAGAGACAAAAUAGCGAUCUGAAAUCAAGAAAAAAUGCGCUUGCCAAAGAGUAGUUUAGACUUAUAAUUAGAAGCAUUAGUACUAACUUGCUUGCAAGAAAAUGUAAGAGAAUCUACUAAAAAUAUGCAAUAUAGAUUCUAUAGUCCUAUUUAGGCUAGGUUUGGAUGGAGGAAUUUGAAAAGAAAAAAAGAGGAAUGAAGGGGGAAAAAAACUAGAUUUCUUUUGUUUGGGAGCUUUUAAGUGGAAAGGAAAGAAAAGAAAAGAAAAGGAAGAAAAAUAGGGGGAUCAAUAGUUUUAAAAAAAUUCUUUCCAAUUGUGAUGAGGAAUAAAAGAAAAGUUGAAGCUAAGCUCUCUAAACUUUUUCAAAAUACCAAACUUGUCCAUAAACUACGAAUGAACAAAUUUUUAAUACCAAAUUCAAAAUUAUUCCACUUCUUUCUUAGACUUUCAAACAAUUACUUGAGAUUCUCUUUCCAUUCUCUCUCUUAUUUUCUUUUCUCACACAACCUAAAAACUUUAUCUUCUUUCCUUUCCUCUUCUAAACUCGCAAACUAGUCCUUAGUAUUUUACCACCUGUUGGAAACCUAUAGUAAAUCAAACAUUGGGCUUGAAGGGAGUUAGGAAAGAGGAAUGGACCUAUCUAAUCUAUUGAAUGAUUCGAAGGCAGCUAAAUGAUUUUCAAUUAUACUCCAAAAAAUUGUGAAAAUGAAACAUAUAGUCAACUUGCCCCGAGGGAGGGGCUUAGUCCCUCCUCUUGUGGGCGAGCCAUGGAUCCUUAACCCUAUGCCAUGAAAUCCCUCUUUCCAUGAACCUAAUAGAUACUAAAUGGAACUCAAGGAUGAGCACUUGUCAAAAAAGUUUGUCCGGUCAUCAAAUUAAAACUUUCUACAAAAUUUUGUGGUACUUAAACUUGCAAGCUUCCGGCAACACAUGAUACUUGAGAGUUGUACAAAUUUAAAUGAAGGUCAACCUGAAUUCGACUGAAGAAACACAAAAACCCCGAAACUAACAAGUAGAAGAUACAAUCCAUUGGAAUGCAGUAGAGGUGGCAAAAUGGGCGGGAUGGGCGGGAUUUGCUUGGAUUUGAGAUGGAACCGAGUCAUAUGGGUUUGGGCCCAACCUUACCCAUAUGUGUUUUGGAACUAACUUGGGCGGGAUCACUUUGGGAUGGGUUUAGAUUGAUCCCGCCCAAUAUCCAAAUCCAUUUCCUACAUAUUUUUUUUUUCUUUAAUUCAUUUUUUAUUUUUUAUAUAAUUUUAAUAUUUUUGAUUUAUUAAAUUUCUUUUAGUUUUAUUAAAUAAACAUGCAAGUGCUUUAUACUCAAGAUUCCCACCAAAAAUUGGAUUAACAAAUAAAGGAAAAGAUAGAUAUACAGCCAUAUUCUAACAUAUAUCAAGAUGGCCAAGGUCCUUAGCAUGUUGAAUAUUUAUCCUCAUCAUUGUCCAAGGAUGACAGGUCUAAACUGAUUGAAAUGCUAGAAAUUCUUGUGGAUAAUGACUAGGAAGACUACUAGAUUAUAUUCGCUGGUAUGACUAUAAAAAUUGUUAAAGAUAAUUUUUGAAUCUAAGACUCCGUUUGGAUUGACUAUUUUUCCAAAAAAUAAGUUUUUCAAAUACAAUGUUACAGUAAUAUACAAUAACUCAAGAAACAUCCCAUCUAUAUUAGUAUAUCAAAUAUUUCAAAAAAAUUUUAUAGUAAAAUUUUUUCAUAUACACUGUUACAAUAAAAUAUUUCAAAAACACCCCCCAAAAACAGUUAAUCCAAACGGAGCCCUUGCUAUUUGAGCCCAAUGGGUAUCCAAGUAUUUCCCACCCUUUCCCAUUCAUUAAUGGGUAUAGUUGGGAUGUGUCCCAAUUUAAACGCAAUAUCAAAUUAUAAUACCCAUCCCGCCCAAAGUUCCUUUGGACAUGGGUAGUCCAUUGGAACUUGGGACAAAUUGCCAGCUCUAGAAUGCAGCAAUUCGAAAGUUCACUUUAUUAGAAUCAAGCUUAGCCAAGAUUAAAGUUAACUUUGAAUUCAUUAAAAGGUUUUUAAAAAAGAAAAAAAAAACCAGAUCUUAUGGCAGUACUAGGCUUGAUUAGACUGAUCUACUCAAAAACUUCGUUGGGGGCCCAAAAUGCAAUAUCAUUACACGUGACAUCCGUACACCAAAAGAACGGCCCACAAGAAUUUAUGUGCGGGAGCCACUUGAAAUGAAUCCGCUUUGUAAGGUCGGAGAUCCUAGGAUAUCCGACGUGGUUAGCUGUAUGGCACUGCCGUUUUCUUGUGGGUCCCGACAUCCCAGAUUCCUCAAUCCACCUCAUCUUUCUGGAAAGUCCAACCCCUUUUUUCCGGGAAUUGAUUUUUUCACUGCUUAAUCAGUUAACUUCUAGCACUUCUUCGAUGAUAUUUACAUAUUCGGUGAGUGAAUUGAAGCGCAAGAUGUAAAAUGGAGAGGGCGGAUGUAAAUUCUUUUUUUUUUUUUUUUUAAUCUUAAAAGGAAACCUUUCUAAAAUUUUGAUAGCAGAAGUUAGUAAUGAAUACGAGUUUAGUUAAUGAGUGUCUAGCGAAUACUCCUUGUUAGCGCUUCAAAUAUUAACUUUUUGAUAAGAGUGUUGUUAAUUUAAAAAGGAGUUCAAAAAUAGAAAGUGCAACAAAUUUCAAGUGUGUGUACCCAUAUAAUAAAUUUGACGUAAAUUAAGUAGGGAUUUUGGGCACCCUUUAAUAUAGGUUAAAAAAAAUGUUUAAUUACUGCAUUAACUGUUUCAUAUUUUGGAAAGUUAUUUUUAAAGGAUUCACAUGUUAAAUGACAUACCCAAAAUUUUCCCUAAAAAUAAACAUCACAAGUCUUCCAAGACACGAGUGCCAGCGGAAGACUUGUGAUGUUUAUUUGUAGAGAAAAGGUUAGAUAUUUUAUUUAACAUGUGAAAUCCCUUAAAAAUAACUUUCCAAGACAUGAAAUAGUGUAGUUAACAGGGCACCUGUUAGAAGAUAUAAAUGCUUUAUUAAAACAAGGAUCUGUCUGUCUAACGAGUGUCCACUGAACACGCGUUAGAAAUAUUUCAGGUGUCAUGCUUUUAAAAAUGUAAGAUUAAAUAGAAAAAGUAAAUAAAUACAAGGAAAGAUAAAUAAAAUUAAAGCAAAAAAGGAUAUAUAAAUGUAAGGAAGGGUAAUCAUUAUUAGUACGUGUAUAUAAAUGAUAGGUUAUAUGAAUUUUAAAUAUGUUAAUGAAUGGUCAUCGGGCACCCGUUAAAAAAAAUCCAUUGAACAGUGAUAAUCCAGCAGCUGGGAGUACAGAUGAAUGACAUGGAAUGGGUUUAUAUUUGGGAAACCACAAUCAUGCUCUCAUUUGUUUCAUUUACCAAAAUAAGUGUUGAUAUGGCAAAGCUAGUAACCAAGACAAUUAUGUUGGAAAUUAGUCAAUUACACUCGAUCUGACUGUAUGGCAACCAUGCCGAAUUUGGUCGUGAACCAAAUGUUAGUGUAACCACCUUUUCUUCUUUCAAGCAGGUAAUCUAUUGAGCUAAUUUGUCCCCAUUGUUGGCUCAUUCAAAUCAAUCACUAAUCGAAUCUAUAGAAUGAGAUUUGAAAAUCUAAUGAUAUAGAUUUUCGUAAUCUAUAGACUCUAGCUCAUCCACGGCAAGCAACGUAGAACAUUCUUCCAUUGUUGCAAGUGUGGUUGGCAACAUUGCCAUAACAAUGAUGGUGUUCUUCCCAGAGCAAUCUCUCUUUAAAAUGUCUAGAUUACCCUUCCUAAAGUUUGACCCAUUUCCACUAUCCUCACUCUCUAUUUUCUUUCUUUCUUUCGUUAUAACCUCCGCUCAGGAUCUCUCUCAAGCCUUACAGCUCCCAGCCCAACUUGUAAUAGGUAAAUAAUGAAACAACCCACCCUAACCGCAUAGCCAUUCUUGGGUUUCAAUCGAGAAAUAGAAAGGAAAAUGUUGCCACAAUUAUGAGCAUAAACAUCAGAGUCAAGAAUUUGGAGGUUUAUGAGCAUAUCCUUGAUAUCAAGGAUCCCGGGAAAAAAUUUAACCAUUAUUUGCUAAAAAUGUCCAUCAAUGCUGUUGAUUAAAACAGGAAGAGGAAACCACAUGUAACCUCACCACGUACCACUGGGGAUUUCCAACAUAACUAAACUCUCAUGUACAAACUUUAAAAUCAAUGACUCGGACUUGGAUGUUUAAUCAUCUUUGGCAAAAUAUUUAUUCGAUGCUGUGGUUUGGUUGGAAAGGCAGUAAAACACAGUUCAUUGGGUUUUCAAGAGGAAAGUGUAGCCAACUGUGAGUGGCCGACCAAGAUGGUGGAUGAAAGGGCAUGGGAUGUACUGCCUCUGUGAAUCAUGGUGGCCUUGUUGGAUACUCAAUUUAGGGAGGGGGAUUUGCAGGAGAGAGCAGAACAUUACUGGUUGGGGAGCGGAGGUCCUGAUGGUGGUUGAUGGGCUACAUGCGUCGGCAGGAAAUAGGAAACAAAGCAGGGGAGAUGGCAAAGUUGGAAGUGAAUUUGGGUUGACCUUCAUAAGGGUAAUUUAGGCAUUUACAGAGAUAUUGCUCUGGCACUGGCAGGAAAAUUUCUGCACUUGUAAUAAUAUCGCAAGCCCUGCAAGUGCAACUACAUUUGAAUUUAUAUUAGUCUGUUCUCGAGGCUAAUUUUGAGUUAGAGUAACAAAGUUAUAUGUUUCUAACGGAUGUUUAAUGACAUUUGUUGAGAUACCUAAAUCACAUCUAAGUUACUACGUGAAGACACACACUCAUAUUAAUUUAUUGCCCCUUUUGAAUCGUGACACUUUCUCGGAGUAAUUCUAAAAAACUUACACCUGAACUCCCUCUUAACGAAUGCCCAUUAAGCACCUGUUAGCCAACCGAACCGAUAGUGUUUUUUUAUUUUUUCAUUGAAAAAAGAAAAGAAAAGAAAAGAAGUAUCUUUUGGUUAAGGACAAUCAGCUUUACAACGGACCAUGUAGACCAGAUGAUGUUGAGGGAGCAGUCCAGAACACUAAACAAGUAAACAUGUUCUGAAUUCAUUGCCCAGAUGCAGAUGACAACGUUUCACAGAACAUCUUUUUUGGUCCCACAUGAACAUUUGCUCAACCUUUGGUUUGUAGAGGGUCCUCGUUCGGACUCGUAUAUCCAUUUUUGUGCAUGCAUUUUGAGAAUAUGGUUUGCUUCGAAAUUCAUUUUAUGUGUAAAAAUGCUCUAAAAUUAUGUGCCAACUGCCAAGGAGGAGGCUCAGAUGAACUUUCAGGCAACCUAAAGUUAAGUGUCUACUUUCUUGAAAUCUUUGAGCAAUCUAGAACCGCAAAUUGUUAUUGACAAACUAAGCAUCUCCAAUCACUAUGGAACAUUAUUGUAAUGAGUGUUUCUUGACUUCUAAAGUGAUACAGAAGCCAUUUACAGCCUGGAAAUGGCUGAGGCUCAUGUAAAGAGGGUCAAUGGGGGAUUGUUGUCUAAGAGACAGCAACUCAUCAGCUUUUUGGUUUAGAAAAUGUGGUGACAAUCCCAUGGGAUUGUGGGAAAAAAUCAUAGGACAAAAGACCCUACAUAAAUUAUUGGAAUGGAUUUUAACAUUAUGGAAGUAGCUUAGAUAAUCCCUGCCCUGGUUGAUUGAUUCCGUUACGUUGCCCUGUGUGUUGCAGGUUUUUUCAUGCUUCCUGGAAUACUUGUUUGAGGUUAGGAAAUUUGGAUAUGGUAUUAUUUGAAAUAUUAUUUGGAAUAAUUACUGUAGCACUUUUUGUGAUGUGAUGUAUGUGAGAUAAAAAGGUGGUUGGGAAUAUAAAAAGGUGGGUCGGAAAAUGUGUGUACGAUGCAAGCGAAAUAUUAUUUGGGAUAAGUUUUGUAUCCAAACACUCCACAUGUUUGAAUACACCCUCUUGAGAUAAAUUGAAUUUGCCAUGAAAUUGAGUUCCAGCAGAGAGGGAGACUGCUCUAUCCUCCAACAUUAUAUUUUUCAAAUAAAAGUAAAAAUUAAAUGAAAGAAAGCUGUGAUUUUCUAGGUUAAAUGGAAAAUAUGUACACUAUUAUGUUGAUAUAUAUAUAUAUAUAUAUAUAUAUAUAUAUAUAUAUAUAUUCUGUGUUCUUUGGACAUUCGAUAAGCACAUAAAAAAGAGUAGGUGGACCCACUAAAAAUUUCAAAUAGUAUUUUAAUCAUAUCAUAAAUACAUUUUUUGACUAUCUUUUUAUCUCACAUAUAACUUAAAAUCGGACGCAGCUCUCAUCAUGUGCACUAAGGACAUACAAUUGAAAAACCCAGUACUUAAUUAACUCCGAACCAUUUGGAUUGCAUUUUUUGGGGAGUUUAUGGAGAAAAAUUAUUAUAACACUUUUUAAGAAUGUGAUGUAUAUGAGGUAAAAAGAUGAAUGAAAAUUGUGUAGAAAGAAUAUUUAUGGAAAAACAUUUUCUCCAAAAUGUCACAAUCUAAACAAGGCUAGAUUCUAAAGAAGGUGGUGCACGUUUUGGUGAGGAACACAUCGGCCCUUGUGUUCUUACCAGUUCCAGUUUCCGUGGGCCAAAUACGAACACAUAUUAUUGUUUGGGUUGUUAGAUUGAUCAGGUCCAAGCCUGUCCCACUCGAAGGAAAAGUCCUUUUCCCCACUCCCAGCCUGGCUAAAUACGAUUCAGGUUCCGCUUAAUUAAUCCUAUAACAUUCAAAAUAAAUACAUAAAUUUCUCUUCAUAGUUUAUAAAUUAUAUUGACCCCCUCAUCAUUUUUAAAUAUUUUGUUUUGGCUAUUACUUGUAGAGUUGAAUUUCAAUGAGAUCCAUCCCCUACAAUUAGUGGCCGAGCCACCGCCACGUUGAGUUGAGGGGGUGAAAUUUUAAUUUUUUAGAAACUCUAAAAUAGCGUAUAAAAAUUUUAAAAAUUAGAGUAUUGCCUCAUUCUUAUCCCUUCUGAAUUUUGAUAGUAGUCCCUUUAAUCUCAUAAUUGUCCCCCCGAAAUUGUUGAAAUCUUUUACAAUUGUCCUCUCCAUUUUCACAUUUUGAACCUUGAACUAAAAUAUAUUUAUAUGAUGCUAUUUUCCCCUUUCUAUUAAACUAAACGUAAUUUUUUUUUUUUUUGGUAAGCAAAUGCUAUUUAUUAAUAUUGAACUUUUAUUACGUGUUGAUUUCACAUGAAUUACAAGCCAACCAACCAUUCAUUCAUUUGACAGUUCAAUUGUGUACAAUUUAUUUGCCUAUAUUGCAUAUGUUAAUAUUUUUAUGCAUAAUUUUAUACCGUUGGAUGAGCUGAAAAAUAAUGAAAAUCUCCGACCUAUUCUAAUAGCCCGAAGGAAUCAUAAAACAUGCUAACAUUUUUAGGUUGUGUUUGGAUUGCAUUUUCCGUCAUUUUUCAUGGAAAAAUUACUGUAGUGAUUUGAUAUAUGUGAGAGAAAAAGGUGAUCACGAAAAUAACAAUAUUUUCCGAUAGAAACAAGCAAUCCAAACAAAGCCUUAGUUUCAAUUGAAGAAAUCCCUCCAAAGUCAUGCUCGAAUGAUCAUAUCCACUUCUUUACCAAAAGUACUGGUAUAUAUUCUCCUACUGCAAAACAAUUUAAAAAGUGGAAGGGUUUCAAAGGGUUAGUUCAUUUAGAAAAAGAAAAUGUAGAACGAGUGACAAAAAGCUUGGAGGUGGAUCGCUUAAUGAGGGAGGACUAAACAUGAUUUGUUACUAGCUACAGUUGCUGUACCCAAAAAAAAAAAAAAAACUAAAAAUUAAAAUAAAAACAAGUAAAAAAAUAGCAUAUCCACUAAAUAGUUCCUUCAUUUGGAGUUCCAUGUCCGAAAUUGGCAGGUGCAUGAACUUAUUAAUUGUCAUUUUUAGAGAAAUUAAGUAAAAAAUAAACGAGAUUAAGGAAAGUAAUUAUUUUGCAAUUCCAUUUAGUUCUUACCAUGCUGGUACUUUUCCCUGUAUAUAUCAAGAAUGUCACCUACUCUAACAACACAUAAUAAGGCGCAUUAAGACGAAAAAUCCAGGCGCAAAAAUCGUGUUUAAUCUAUCAUUUCCCCGGGAGCUGUCUGUCCAUAUCAGGAAUCACAAACUAUGGUUGACCUAACUAAGGAAAACAACUAACCAGAUAAAUCAGAAAGGAAAUCAUUUGUGCACUAUGAAAUUUUGGAUGCAAAAUUAUGAUAAGGAUUUCAUCAAAUAAUAAUUAUACUUGCCGUUACAAUAUGAAAAUAAAUCACAUCACAUACCAAGGUGUUAUUCGGCUUACCAUAAUAAUUCAAAGUAAAAUACGCGGCGUCAAGCUUAUUGAGCACCUCCAAGUUAAGUUGAAACUCGAAAUUUGGAUUAUUUUUAACGUUAAAUUGAACUCGAGUCGAGUUAUAAUUAAUUCACGUCAAGGCUGAGUCAGAGUUUUCACCAACCACGUUCACACCCUGCAGUACUCCUUUUUCUUCCAGAAUAAUCUAUGUGAUGUUCCAUAGACUGUCAAAAGUUUUCCUUUUAUGCUCAAUAAUCUAGAGGAAUUAAUUAAAAUACUUCCAUACACGAAAAUUUGAUUUUUCUUUAAUUUCCUUAGUUGAGCAGGGUUCUGGCUGAUCAUUCUUAUCUAAAUAGUGCAUAUAAGCAGGAGCAAAUCUUCUCUAAACUUUGUCCCCAUCCUACCCACGCUUUUCUAUAUAAAGCACAACGUCCAGAGUCCAAUUCAAACUCAGAAUUGAAUAGGCGGAAAGAAACAUUUUAACUACAGCACCAAGAACAAAACUAACUUCCUCAACUGUUUCUGAGAGAGAGAGAGAGAGAGAGGGAGAUGGAGCAAGGGAAAGUCUUUAUACAUAUCUUCAUCUGUCUCCUUACUCUACUCUCUUGCAUCCUUGUCCUGAAAGCCAAGAGAAUAUUUUCAUACAUGUCCUUAAUCCUGGAAAAGGAGAAAGUAGUAACCUGGCGAAAGUCUAGGCUCCCUCCAGGCUCAAUGGGGUGGCCUUGUAUAGGAGAAACUCUGCAACUUUAUUCUCAAGAUCCCAACGUCUUUUUUACUGAUAGACAAAGAAGGUUUCGUGUCAUCAACUUUUGUACAUUUUUGCAUGAUGAUUAUCUUGUUAAUUUACUAAACACUGGAUGGAUGAGUGUAAUUUCGUCGAAUUGGAUGAUUUCUGUUCCAGGUAUGGAGAAGUCUUCAAGACUAACAUUUUAGGUUGUCCUAGUGUGAUGCUGGCUAGCCCUGACGCAGCUCGAUUUGUGUUGGUGACUAAAGCUAACUUAUUCAAGCCUACAUAUCCCAGGUGUAAGGAGGUUUUGAUAGGCCCUUCCGCCCUGUUUUUCCACCAAGGAGAUUACCACAUGCGCCUGAGAAAGCUGGUGCAAAGCUCCUUAUAUCCUGAGGCUAUUCGUAAUCUUGUCAAUGAUGUUGAAGCUAUUGCAAUCGCUACGUUGGAGUCCGUUGCAGGGGGCCAUGUUCUUAACACUUUUGAUGAAAUGAAAAGGGUUGGUAUAUCAGUAAAAUCUCAAUGAUAGAUUUUUAGGAGGACUGGAGAAAAUAGAUUUCCUGUUUUCCUCUGCAUUAUUGCUAUCACUUUUCUUAAUAAAAUUACUUAUGAUUGAAUUGUCCAGUACUCAUUCGAAGUGGGCAUUCUCGCUAUUUUUGGUCAUUUGGAAGCCCCACGUAAAGAAGCAUUGAAGCAAAACUAUAGCAUUGUGGAUAAAGGUUACAAUUCUUUCCCAACAAAAUUUCCUGGAACUCGUUACAGAAGGGCCUUACAGGUAAACAAACCAUAGAAAAUGUCAUUGUCAAUAGGACAUUAUUGUGCCACUACAUUAGUGAAAGUGACGUGUUAAAACAGUUAACUGCAUCGAUCAUGUUAUAUCCUUUCAAAUGAUCUAUACUGUCUUUGUUAGUAAUUGGAAACUUACCAAUUUGUACUAUCAAUUGGCUGUUUUUGCCCUUUGAAGGCAAGGAAAAGGCUAAGUGAAAUCCUCAGCACGAUCAUAAGUGAAAGGAAGGAACAAAGAACACCUGAGAAAGACCUGUUGGGAUGUCUUCUGAAUUACAAAGAUGAAAAUGGUGAAGUCCUGAAGGAGGAUCAGAUUGCAGAUAACAUCAUUGGUGUUCUAUUUGCCGCCCAGGAUACUACAGCCAGUGUCAUGACAUGGAUAGUCAAGUACCUCCACGAUAACCCGAAACUUCUGAAGGCUGUAAAGGUGCAUUCCAGAAUAUCGUCACAUUUUCUUUUCUACUAAAAGGGAAAUAAAAGGAGCCCCUCAUUGUCCAUUCGCUGUGUCUUGGACUUAAACUUUGAUAUUAGGGACACUGUCAUGAUUGCAUUCAAUGUCUAAAAUGUCUGUGCAGGCCGAACAGAAGGCUAUCUACCAAUCAAAUACCAAAGAACAUUGUCAGUUGACAUGGGCUCAGACUAGAGAGAUGCCAUUAACUUACAAGGUAUAUGAGAAUGUGCAAAUGGGGUCCCUUUUUUUUUCCCACUUUUUCUUUACCUCUUAUGAAGUUGGAAUAACUGUAUUUGGUAACAAUGUGUGCCCUCAGGUCAUCUUAGAGAGCUUAAGAAUUGCAAGCAUUAUAUCUUUCACAUUUAGGGAAGCAGUAGCUGAUGUAGAGUACAAAGGUAAAGCUUAUAGGAAGUGAAUUAUUUUCUAGCAACUAAUUGAUCUGGGAUUAAAGUAUGAUUUCUGGGUUUGAGUCAGAGUUCUCCUUUUCUAGAUGAAAAUGUUUAUAUAUACACUUCUUUUCUGACGAAAGAUGUGGAGGAACUGAAAACUCAUGAUUAUGUCAGGGUACCUUAUUCCAAAAGGUUGGAAGGUAAUGCCUUUGUUCAGGAAUAUUCAUCACAAUCAAGAAUUCUUUACUGAACCCCAGAGAUUUGAUGCUUCAAGAUUUGAGGUACAGAAUCAGAAUUUAUUUGGCCAAACUCCCAAAUGCAAAACGUCUAAAGAUCUUUCCUUAAAGCGCCAAUUUACUUGGUCCAGAUUUUGCAUAAGUAACAGCUAACAAGAUCAAGAUCCUGUUCUAAAAUGCCCUGUGUUGCACUCGUAUAGGUUGCCCCAAAGCCCAACACUUUUAUGCCAUUUGGCAGCGGAGCACACGCCUGUCCUGGUAAUGAGCUUGCAAAGCUGGAAAUGCUCGUACUGAUCCACCACCUAGUCUCCAAGUUCAGGUUUUUUUUUUGCCAAAUCUUGCACAAAAAAAAAAGCCACCUUAUCUAAGAAUGACCAAUGGUAGUAUAAUGAUAUACCGGUAUUACUAGCAGUUAUGUUCGAGUUGAGUGCUCGACGAUUUUUUACGGGAAUUUUCAGUGGGUCGUUGUUUGUGUAUUGUAGGUGGGAAGUGGUGGGAUCUAAUAAUGGAGUUCAGUAUGGUCCAUUUCCGGUCCCUCUGCGUGGACUCCCAACCAGAUUAUGGAAAGAAUCUACCGCCUAGCACCAAAGGACAAGAAGGAGCAGCCUGGCUUCUUGCGACGGCACAUCCAUCCCCUUCAUCGAAUUUUAUCAAUUAGAUUCAGUUAGUACAAGGAAAUUCUCUCUAACUCUAUCCCAUCGCAAAGGAAAUCGGGAAUAGAUUAAAGAUCUCCCAUUUUCUUUCAAUGAUGACAAGUUAUGUUCUUCAUUCUCAUUUCUCAAUCAAGAAUUUCAUUUUACAUCUCUCCCUUACUUUGCCUACUUUUACAGAUUGCAACUUGUGCCCAUUUUACAUUGGAAGAAUCUUGAAUUCGAUAAAGAGCUAACCUUCGAAACAAAAGAGGGUAGACUUUCAUUUCAGGAAUCAUUCCUUUUACACUGUCUCGGCAUUGUUAUCCUAUUGCGUUUGUGCGCUCGAAAUUUGAUUUGAGCCCUCUUGUUUGUUCGGGUAGAAUAGAUCAUAUAAUGUUCUUGUUUUUUUCGACGUGUGUCUAGCUCCAUGCUAAAAGGUUCUUCACUUGAGGAUACAAAGGUACCCAAGUGUUUAUAGUCUCAUUGGUUUCUGUAAAGGGGAUGCGGCCGUCAGCUGUAAGGCACAAUCUAAAAGCGUCCUGCCUUUACUUUGUUGACCAAAACCAGGCUCGGCCAGAGCUUUGUAAACAGGGGAUGCUAAACUGUGGCUGCUAGAGCUUUGUAAUUGUAUUCGAGGAGAGUAAUGUGAAUUUUCAGUUUAGUGGCUCUACUGAUGAUAUUUCACAACGGUUGUGGCCCAAAGUCAGAGCUCUUAGUCUCUGGAGAUAUCAGAUUCCUUGACUCUGCUUGAUUGCCAUCCCAGUUCAACAAUCCAUAAUGUUCCUCUGUCUAAUGGUCAAGCCUCGACUUAUCUAUGAUAACUUCAAGCAACUAGAACGAGCACAAGGCCCCAGAAUAUUCUUAGAUCAUGAAUUCCAACUUCCAAGCAAGCCAAUGACCUUCAAAGGUUCUUCUUUGCCCGUAAAUCUUAAGUCUCCACAUAGCGCUGAUCAUUUUCACCAUGCAUGUACAUGUUUUAAGCUGCUCUAAGUACACAGUACUGGUGAUACCAAAAUUUUGAACUUAUAGUUUUCGAACACUAAAAAAAGGAAAAUGAAACUUUGAACUUGUAGUUUUUGAACACUACAAAAAGGAAAAUGAAGCUUCUCAGAGGGGUAAUUUAGUGCAUAACCUGUAGCAUAAACAGAUAACCAACGAAUGUUUAGUAAAUCAUUCUAGUGAGACAGGUGCUGCAGUUCUUUUCUCUGCCUCCAGAUAUGAAGUCUGGCAAGAAUAAGAUGUCUCCCGCAGUUUAUGCUGGAGUACAACUAGUCUUUAAAUUAAUCUGAAGCAACUUGUUCAGAUGUUUGAUGUUAUACACAUAUAAUGAUUUUCAUCAGGAACAACGGCCAAUGUCUUCAAAACGUGUUUAGAGUCUCUUUAAUAUUUCCCGUGGAAACUUCUCAAAAGACUAAGCAGAUAUAUACUGGUUGAGAAGAUGCUCAUAAUUCAGUCCCAAAUAAGGAAGAUCUUCUCAACGGUAUGCAGAGGUUCAUUUCCUCUUCCCCUACCUCAGAUAAAACAGCUUCCUAUCAUUAGCACCUCCACCGGAACUUCUUAGUAAAUAUCAAGUGAGCACCUAUUCAUCCAACUCAAAACCAAUUGGUUAUGAGUGGAGCUUUUGUUGAUAGUUUGAAAGUCCUUCGGCAUGUCGGAUGCGGUCCCGUGACAUCAAAGGACCCUACUAUUCCCAGACACCAUCUACCAACGUUUUCUGGAAUGUGUCAUCUUAAGAUAUGCUUUUCUUUUUCCUUUUUGUUCCCCAAGAGAGAAAGGAUCUUCUCUGCGGUGAGAAUGGAUUCUGUUAACUGAAAUGAAUUUCAUGAUCAACUAAAUCAUCUGAGUUUCAGAUAUCUUGGGGGGCUUUUUUUCACUAUUAUUUUCCCUUCAAGUGCUUCUUUCAUUCGCAUCGUCAAGCUCAAGUUCCUCUAAAGACAAGUGUAUUUGCCUAGGCAGAAUGCAACCACAGGCAUAGCAGAACAAAUAGGCUGUUGCUUUAUUUUCCAGGCAGAAUACGCAAGUAGAUUAGAGAUUCACUUUGCCUCCUACACUAUUUACCUUACAAAUACAAGACUCUGAAAUAUAAUGUUGCAGCUGUAGCGGGUAACAAGAAAAGUAUAGGAGUCUUCUUGUGCCCAGAUAUGGAUACCAAUAUGCACAUGUGAAAGUAUGUUUUCAGAGCCUACCCAGAUUAGCUAAAG
rnacentral:lncRNA from 1 species